rnacentral:rRNA from 1 species
GACGAACGCUGGCGGCGUGCUUAACACAUGCAAGUCGAACGAAGUGGCGAACGGGUGAGUAACGCGUAAUCAACCUGCCCUUCAGAGGGGGACACCAGUUGGAAACGACUGCUAAUACCGCAUACUGAAGGAGGGGAUUGCUUCUGAUUAGCUGGUUGGGGGGGUAACGGCCCACCAAGGCGAUGAUCAGUAGCCGGGUGUGAGAGAUGGACCGGCACCUUGGGACUGAGGAGCGGCCCAAGCUCCUACGGGAGGCAACAGUGGGGAAUCUUCCGCAAUGGAGGGAAGUCUGACGGAGCAACGCCGCGUGAGUGAUGACGGCCUUCGGGUUGGAAAGCUCUGUUAAUCGGGACGCGGUACCGGAAUAGAAAGCCACGGCUAACUACGUGCCAGCCGCCGCGGUAAUAC